rnacentral:rRNA from 1 species
UAGGGGAUCUUCCACAAUGGACGCAAGUCUGAUGGAGCAACGCCGCGUGAGUGAAGAAGGUCUUCGGAUCGUAAACUCUGUUGUUAGAGAAGAACACGAGUGAGAGUAACUGUUCAUUCGAUGACGGUAUCUAACCAGCAAGUCACGGCUAACUACGUGCCAG